CCCAAGGAAAAGUUCUGCCUUCGCGUCGCAGUCUCCUCAUUACCACCCUCCUAUUUUUGUAAAGUCAUGGAACACCUCCGCGUUGCAAACUUGUUCGACGAUGUCACCUUCUUCAUUUAAAGUCAACUUGGAUGAUUAUUUUUAAUUCCAAAUGGUGUAGGGUAUUUUGGGAUCUUUGGGAAUUUUUUAUAAACGGUUUUUGUGCCAUUUUGCCCGUCUUCCCAUAUCAAAACACAAUUACCAAAUGAGAAACCAAAAAUUCAAAACCUUCUUCUCUUCCAAAAUUUUCUCCAAAAACUCCAUUGGUGGCCAAGCUCAAUCUCAAGAUAGAAGAUGUAUUUUCAUUUGAUUUCUUCUCUUAUUUGAUGGGUCUUCAAUAAAUAAGGUGGCGGCGACUUAUGGACCUUUCAUAGAAUAAAGAGGAUUACUAUUCCCAAGUUCGGGUGUGUCCUUACAAAUUCAAGGACCAUUUUGUCAAGAGUUCUCUAUAAAUUUCAUUUACUAGAUAGUAGAUGCUUUUGUAUCAUAAGGGUCGUGUCCCUAUUGUGUUAUAGUCGUGUUGUAAGAUGACUACAUUAAAACUUAGUACUUCCAUUGUAUUUUAAAAAGGUUUUAAACUAGAUGGAUUUUAGUCUUGUGUUAUCGUAUGGAAAAGACUUAAAUUUCUGCUA